AGCUAAAGACAACUAAGCACUACUAGAGCCAUCUUAUGGAAAUAAACAUUUUGGCCAACCUAGUAUAAAUAAUUAGUUAUUAAAUAUUACUCAACUAUAACCCUCUAGCACCUUAGGGCUACUUGGAAUUGAAUAGUUAAUUUGUAGUUGAAUUAUUGAAUCAGACCCUAUGCUGGGCCAAGAGACUUUGUUAAAAUUAAGUCAGUACUCUUUUUGCUUAUGUCUGCCAUCUAACCCAACCAUAGUCACCUCUUCUAGCUAAAAAGGAAGCGAAAGGAUAGAUACUGGAUACCUGCCUUCCUACCAUAACUCUACAAAAGCCCAAUAAAUGUAGGGAGUGUACUGGAAAAAAGUGAUUCAUGAUUAUUUUUCUUCCUCUGUUAUUUUAUUUUUAGAAAGUAAUGUUGUAGGAGAAAACAACAAGAUAAAUAUGUUGGAAUAACAAAUGUAUUGGAAUUUUCUCUUGGGUUUAUAGUUAAUAAUUACCCAGACUAUAAAUAAGUAUCAUACCCAAUAUUUUUCUAACACCUUUAAAUUAAUCCAUACUGUUGGCUACCCUCACCUGCUGCCCUCACUAUUAUUAACAGGAAGUGUAGUCUUUUGGGAGUCAGGACUCCAGUCUCCUCUGCUGACUCAGUCUGUGAGCAUGGGUAAGUCUCAGACGCUCUCUGUGUCACGGUAUGCUUAUUGUAAUAUCCAUGUGGUAGCUUUCAGCCCAUGUGUCUUUCUCUGGCUGCCCUCCCUCAUUACAUUGUGUGUCCUUAUAUCUCAUCACUUUUGCCUUGUGCUCUGCAUUGGGCAGCAGAAAUGGAAAGAACGGAAGAUAACUUCUGUCUCAGUUAACUGAUGGAAUUUGCCAUAGACAGAAAUCAGUCAUGUCACUGUUUAAUACAUUCCUCAUAGGUAUAUUAUUAAACACACAUGCAAGCUUGCGUGAUUAGUCAGACUUUCCACCAUAUUGAAGAGGAAAGAAAAAUUGAGUUAUUCUAAAAAAUAAUGUAUCUAUUAUGCAAUAUUUAAAUUUAGAAUUGCAAUAUUUUUCUAUUUAUGGUUUUCAAGGGUUGGCAGGUAUGUGUUAACGUUUUUAUAAUAGCAUUCAGCUAUCAGUUAAAAGACAGUUAGCUUUUUCUUUUGAGGUCACAUUAUUCAUAUUCUUUUCUUUUUAUAUAUGUUGUUACUUUCAUUAAGAAAAUGUUAAUAGUUGGGUGUCUGCUUCACCAAUUUAAAUUUUUGACAUAUGACCUCUGUUUAAUAAAGGUGUAACAAGAAAAGCAAAAAGUCUGAUUCACAACUUGCCAUUGGUUCUUGUAGGCUAAGUUUAAAAACUAACAAAUGUUAGAAUUUGUCAGCACUGUUCAGAUUUGAGAUUUAUAGCUACAGAAUAGGAGACCCUCUUUGACAGAAGCCUUGAUCCCGACAUAUCAGUUAAGAAGUGUAUCAGUUGGAUUGCUUGAUCAAACCACAUCAUGUAUUAUAUUAAAAAAAGUUUGCCAUAUCAGAAUAUUCACCUCUCCCAAAGUAUUAAAAAAUUCAAGAGUGGAAAUAGGCAUACUUUUUAUUGUUAGAAAAGAUCUAUUGAAUGAUCAUUGCAUCUCUUACCUUAAAAUAAUUCUUAGAUUUUAAGCCUCUGAUACAAUAUAGGCAAUUCAAAAUAUACUAUAUUCUCAUAAAAAUGUUGCACACAUAGAUCUUUAAAAGUAAUUCCUUCAACUAUCUACAGAAAAUUAAUGUAGAGAUGGUUCUUGCAGAUAACUGAGAGGAAAAAAACCCAGUCUUAAAGAAAGAGAACUGCAGAGUCAAGCCUAGAGCCUGCUCCCCUGCACUAGAUGUGUGGUGUUGGGUUACACACAGCCUGUAUCUCUCAUGUGUAAAUAGGAGCCAUGUGAACUGUACCUCAUAGGUUAUUGGGAGAAUUAAAUGAAAUAAAGCAUUUAUAGUAACUAGCACAUUAGUAGUACAUGUUACAGUUACUCAGCACUGCAUGGGUGAUGUGAACAUUCCAUGAAAGAGGCAGCCUGCACUGUGGUGGAGAGCACCAGUUCUGGAGCCACUAGCCUGUGUGAGUUCGGAUUCCAGCUACAACAUCACUAGUUAUGUGAAUUCAGACAAAUUAGAUAUCUUCCCUUUGCCUCAACUCCUUAUCUGCAAAAUGGGGAUCAUACUUCUUAGAGUUGCUAUCAGGAUUAAAUUGAGUCCCUAUAAGUCAAGUAUUUAGAACAGUGUGGGCAUAUAAUUAGCACACUGUAACUAUUUUUUACUUGUGUAUAUUUCCAGAAUGCAACAUUUCAAUUCAUACUAAGUGAAUAUCAUUUUUCAGGGUUCUGCCAUGGUUGAUAACUUAGUGUUGCUUUCAGUAGUCCCAGUAAUUUUUGCUCCCAUUUUCCACAAGUAUUUCUUUUUAAAGACCUUAGAGUGACAUGCAUUUUAAAUGUCCCACUGGGUACCUUUAUGACAUUUGAAGAGCCACUUAUCUGAUGAGAGCUGAGAGGGCAAAUGUAAUAGGCACUGAUUUCCCAUGAAGUUUCUCUCUCGUUGGUAUUGCCAGUUCCCACAAUCCUAGCAUUCCCUGGGCAUCAGUCAGUGUCUACAAGAAAUGAUUUUCAAAUAUUAAAGCAUGUGAAAAGACAAACAGGCCAAAACUCAGAGCUCUCUAGGGACUAUGACCUCCAAAACAGAGUCUGUUCUGACAUUUUCACAGGCUGCUUGAGGGAAUUCCAGCAGGGUCAUUCCAUUUGGUAAACUCCUAAACAAACCCUCUGUCAUCGAGGACUAAUUUACAGAUUUUUCUCUUUAUGUGCUUGUUCUGAAGAGAUUAAGAUAGUGGAUAUGGUUGCUGAGACUCUUUUAAGGCAUUUGAUGUAUAUGAUAAGUACUAUACAGAAGACAUUUGGUAUUUUGAAGUCAUAAAACAGUUAUUUGUUGAAAAAUUUCUUAUUCUGAAUUGUCUUAAGUUCUUUUUCUUUUUGAUUUGAGGAAAUCUAUGUCAUAACCAUAUCUAAAUUAAUUUUUUCAUUAUUAACCUCCCAAAAUUGACUAAAUUCAGAAAUGAUCCCGUAUAAAACAAAUAUACAUUAAAAUAUGUAUAUUAUCACUUGUUUCACAAUGACCUUUGUUAUAUGUGAAAACAAAGAGUUCUAUUGUUGUAGAAUAUUCUAUGAAGUCUUGGUGUGAUGGCAGUUGUAUAGAUGAGGGUUUAAGGUUACCCGGGAUGGGGGCAGAUCUUAAGCUGUUUUUCAGUUAAUCUGAAUCCUCUAAAAAUAUUUUACUGUGUAUUAUUAUAUAUUUCUUUUUAAAAAAAGAAUACACUCCUAAAAAUAAAUGAGAAGGACACAACCCAAGAGAUUUGAAGCCUGGACAACUUAAGGAAAUGGGUAAUUAGGGCUUAUUUGGUUUAUAGUUGGCCUUAAAUGCCUCAGCCUCAUGGUUGUCUGAGUCUGAAGUCUUGUGAGUAGCAUGUAUGAAGUUCCAGAGGUGAAUAGUGUUCCUCAUUUGAAGAAUCAGGUUUACUGGGGAUUUUGUAUGGUUUGCUUCCUUCUUUGCAUGUUUCUUUUCAGUGACUUGUUUUAUUACAUGUAUUUUAAUAACCUGUCAGAAACCCAAGAUGUUUCAGAGAUUUCUUAGUAAAAUAAAAUGGAUACAAAUGUGAAAUGAUAAGUUGCUUUGUAAUUGAUCACAAGUAGUUAUUGAAUGUGUGAAAAAUUGUGUGGAUGUUGAGUGAUAUAUAAAAUUUAUGAUGGAAAAGAUAUAAAUGUUUAUGUUACUGUUUUCUCAGGCCAAGAAUGCAAAGGGAUAUUUAAACUAGGCAUGAUUGUAAUAUGAGAAGGUAUUACUUUUCUAACAGUCUAUUCUUCUAGCAUAAAUUUUUCUAUCCCUUGCUAUCUAUUUCUAUUAGCUAGUCUUUUCAGUUUUCAACUAAAUGGAAUUUAGUUGAAUAGCAACUCACUGAUAAACCAGUGAAAUCUCUGGUUGCAUAAUUGUGUGCUCGUUUGUUUAUUUGUGCAUAGAAGCAGAGUAGCUGAUUGAUUGAUUGCUGAGUGUUUUCUGAACUCUCAACA